rnacentral:rRNA from 1 species
AUUGAGCGCUGGCGGCAUGCUUUACACAUGCAAGUCGAACGGUAACAGACCUUCGGGUGCUGACGAGUGGCGCACGGGUGAGUAAUGCAUCGGAACGUGCCCAGAGGUGGGGGAUAACGCAGCGAAAGCUGUGCUAAUACCGCAUGUGAUCUGAGGAUGAAAGCGGGGGACCAAGCAGCAAUGUUUGGCCUCGCGCCUCUGGAGCGGCCGAUGUCAGAUUAGGUAGUUGGUGGGGUAAAGGCCUACCAAGCCGACGAUCUGUAGCUGGUCUGAGAGGACGACCAGCCACACUGGGACUGAGACACGGCCCAGACUCCUACGGGAGGCAGCAGUGGGGAAUUUUGGACAAUGGGCGCAAGCCUGAUCCAGCAAUGCCGCGUGCGGGAAGAAGGCCUUCGGGUUGUAAACCGCUUUUGUACGGAACGAAAAGGCUCUGGCUAAUACCUGGGGCUGAUGACGGUACCGUAAGAAUAAGCACCGGCUAACUACGUG